rnacentral:rRNA from 1 species
AGUGGCGAACGGGUGAGUAACGCGUGAGGAACCUGCCUCAAAGAGGGGGACAACAGUUGGAAACGACUGCUAAUACCGCAUAAGCCCACAACCCGGCAUCGGGUAGAGGGAAAAGGAGCAAUCCGCUUUGAGAUGGCCUCGCGUCCGAUUAGCUAGUUGGUGAGGUAACGGCCCACCAAGGCGACGAUCGGUAGCCGGACUGAGAGGUUGAACGGCCACAUUGGGACUGAGACACGGCCCAGACUCCUACGGGAGGCAGCAGUGGGGAAUAUUGCACAAUGGGGGAAACCCUGAUGCAGCGACGCCGCGUGGAGGAAGAAGGUCUUCGGAUUGUAAACUCCUGUUGUUGAGGAAGAUAAUGACGGUACUCAACAAGGAAGUGACGGCUAACUACGUGCCAGCAGCCGCGGUAAAACGUAGGUCACAAGCGUUGUCCGGAAUUACUGGGUGUAAAGGGAGCGCAGGCGGGAAGACAAGUUGGAAGUGAAAUCCAUGGGCUCAACCCAUGAACUGCUUUCAAAACUGUUUUUCUUGAGUAGUGCAGAGGUAGGCGGAAUUCCCGGUGUAGCGGUGGAAUGCGUAGAUAUCGGGAGGAACACCAGUGGCGAAGGCGGCCUACUGGGCACCAACUGACGCUGAGGCUCGAAAGUGUGGGUAGCAAACAGGAUUUAGAUACCCUGGUAGUCCACACUGUAAACGAUGAUUACUAGGUGUUGGAGGAUUGACCCCUUCAGUGCCGCAGUUAACACAAUAAGUAAUCCACCUGGGGAGUACGACCGCAAGGUUGAAACUCAAAGGAAUUUGACGGGGGCCCGCACAAGCAGUGGAGUAUGUGGUUUAAUUCGACGCAACGCGAAGAACCUUACCAAGUCUUGACAUCCUGCGACGGUGCUGGAAACAGUACUUUCCUUCGGGACGCAGAGACAGGUGGUGCAUGGUUGUCGUCAGCUCGUGUCGUGAGAUGUUGGGUUAAGUCCCGCAACGAGCGCAACCCUUAUGGUCAGUUACUACGCAAGAGGACUCUGGCCAGACUGCCGUUGACAAAACGGAGGAAGGUGGGGAUGACGUCAAAUCAUCAUGCCCUUUAUGACUUGGGCUACACACGUACUACAAUGGCGUUAAACAAAGAGAAGCAAGACCGCGAGGUGGAGCAAAACUCAGAAACAACGUCCCAGUUCGGACUGCAGGCUGCAACUCGCCUGCACGAAGUCGGAAUUGCUAGUAAUCGCAGAUCAGCAUGCUGCGGUGAAUACGUUCCCGGGCCUUGCACUCACCGCCCGUCA